rnacentral:misc_RNA from 1 species
GGAGAGCAGCUGAGUAGAGACACAGAUGGAAGUCUGAGUACUGUGGAAACCUUAGUUUCUACUGCUAUUUGCGGAAUAAUCCACUCAAUUUUUGGCGGCCAGCCAUUGUUGAUAUUAGGAGUUGCUGAACCCACUGUUAUAAUGUAUACAUAUUUGUACAAGUUCAGCAAAGGAAAAGCAGAGUUAGGCCAGAAAUUGUACUUGGCCUGGGCUGGUUGGGUUUGUGUUUGGACUGCACUUAUGCUUUUUCUGCUUGCAAUUUUUAAUGCCGGCAACAUCAUCACUAAAUUUACAAGAAUUGCUGGGGAGCUUUUUGGAAUGCUGAUCACAGUUCUUUUCUUUCAAGAGGCUAUCAAGGGACUUGUUAGUGAAUUCAAUAUUCCCAAACAUGAGAAUCCCCAAUUAGAAAAAUACCAAUUCCACUGGCUGUACGCAAAUGGAUUGCUUGCAAUUAUUUUCUCAUUUGGUUUGCUCGUCACUGCCCUUAAAAGCAGACAGGCAAGGUCAUGGCGAUAUGGCACAGGGUGGCUCCGAAGUUUUAUUGCUGACUAUGGGGUUCCCCUAAUGGUCUUGUUGUGGACCCUAAUGACUUAUAGUGUACCCAGCAAAGUUCCUGCUGGAGUUCCUAGGAGGCUACAUUGUCCACUUNUGGGAUUCUGUAUCAGCCUAUCAUUGGACUGUAAUCAAGGAUAUGGGGAAGGUUCCAGUGGUUUACAUCUUUGCUGCAAUUAUACCGGCCAUUAUGAUAGCGGGUCUAUACUUUUUUGACCACAGUGUAGCUUCACAGAUGGCACAACAAAAGGAGUUCAAUCUCAAGAAUCCAUCAGCUUACCAUUAUGAUGUUCUGUUGCUUGGAUUCAUGACUUUAAUUUGUGGCUUGCUUGGACUCCCUCCUUCAAAUGGUGUUCUUCCCCAAUCACCAAUGCACACUAAGAGCCUUGCAGUUCUUAAGAAGCAGUUGAUUCGAAAAAAGAUGGUACAAAGCGCC